AAGCAAGGUGAUAAUAUCUCAUACUCUGACUACUAUCAUUCAAAUCUUGGAUUUAUGGAUUGAAUUUCACUUUCUUAGAUGCUUUCGGUUUGAUUUUUGAAGAGGAGGAAGGCAUUGAAGUGGAAGGGACGAAGAGUUUUGAGAAAUCAACGUCCUUUUGCUCUAAAGUUCCAACGAUUGGUUUCGUUCUCCUCAACUGUGUUAUUACGAUCAAUAUAAGGCGAGUUUUGAUUUUGAUAUUUUUUCCCCUUCAUAAAAAUUGUUUAAAUCUCAAAAUUUGUGGACGGUGUCUUCAAUACAAUUCACUUGUUCGAGAUUUGGGUUACUCGUUUUUUGGAAGCACCAUUUUUUCUUAUUGCUUAAAACAGAUGACUCUUUUUGUUUGACUUGUCACCUUCAUGUAAUCUAGAGAGGUUUUUGUAGUCCAUCACUCCUUUAAGUUCCGGCUCAACAUUUAUUUAACGUUUCAUUGCUUGUAAAUGAAUUGAAUUUUUGAAAUUUGUACUUAAUUAAUUUUAAUUUAUCAGUAAUAUUAAUUAUAUAAUUUCAUUUCAUUGCUUUUAUAUAAAAGAGUGAAUGUUGGCUUUACGGUUCAUUUUUCUGUCCUCCGAUUCACACUGAAACUGGUUCUUUACUGUUCAUUAUCUGGUUAUUCAAUAGGAUAUAGAUAUUUUACAUAAAGAGCAUUUUGCUUUCUUUUUUCUUCAUUCACUCUCUCUUGCUUUUUCACGAGUUUCUUUCUCGACAAACCGAGUCAAAGCAAGCCCUAAGAAGGAGAGCAAAGGUAAGAUUCAAACUAAUUACUGGAAUCGACCUUCAAUUUCUUCCAAUCCUAUUAAUUUCUUCAGUUUCUUGAUCACUUCUGCAGAUCCUGUGGACAUUUUUCCCUUUUUAUGAAAGUUUAACUAAAAUUUCAAACAAAGGCACGAGAGAAAAUCGAACUAUUUUCAAUUGAAGUAAAGAUCUUGGAACAACAAUGCACUACACAAUAGCAAAAAAGGUCUUAUGAGGAUUCAUAGGUAUUCUGGGGAAAAUUUCGGGGGUUAUCUCUAGAUUUUAGAGAGGACGAACGAAUUUUUUCUGGUCUUUCUUAUUUACUCGAAGAUAAUUGAUGGCAGUUUCUACUGCAAAGAUAGAAUCCUGAUAUGGUGGAUAUCAAGUGUUUUGAGCUAAUCGAUUCUGGUUCUGUAAUUAUAUUUAGCUAAAAGGGUGUGUAAUUAAGGGAAAAUUCUUGGUGAAUUAUGUAAAUACGGAAAGGAGAGAGAUUCUCUCAAUUUCUGCUGCUUGAAAUUCUUCAAAUAAUAUUGUCAGAACUUAGAUAGUUUUCAUUUUAUUUGCAUCAGAGGCCUGUUGAAAGAAUUUUGUAUGUUUGCUUUAGAAUUUGAAUUAUUCAGUCCUUGGUUUGAAAGGGUGGUCACAACAUUAUAGAAGAAGAGACCAAUGCAUUUGAAGUUGGGUAUACGAAAAGGUUGAAGAAAUUCUAGACAAGAUAAGAUAUAUGGGGUUUUGAUACCUUCAAUGAAAUAAGUGGAGUGAAAAUGGGUGCAACGAUUUUACAUUCUUUGACAGAUGAUAAUCCAUAAUUGCAAAAGCAAACAGGACAGUAUUGUAGAAGAAAAGCCAGUGCAUUGGAAGUUGGGUAUACGAAAAGGUGAUAAUCCAAAAUUGCAAAAGCAAACAUGAUAUAUGACAGGCAUCUUUCAACUAUUCGAUCAUCAGCUUAGUCUUACUGGGAGGUGCAUCGUUAGCCACAGCACAGAGAGGAAAUGCUCACUUCCAUAAUGUACAUUGGAAACAUAAUCUAAUACUGCAAAACGAAGAUCUGCACCAGUGAAAUCAAGUAAAACAUGGAGGAGCUGGCAGAGGUAAUUGGGAAGCUCAGAUUGAUAAAUUGGCUAAGUAAGUUUCUCCUUGGCGCCUUUAGCAGUAAGUCUUUAAUCAAUAGAAUGGCAUAUACUUUUUCUCAUAUAUCUAGUAUUGUGAUCCUUCUACCAUGGUUUCUAGAGUUACCAACGAAGUCGUCAAUUAUAGUGGGAUCAAUCUGAAUGUUGAAGUAUGAAUCAUCUUUUUAUCUAUAUAUUUUGAGUUUUAUAUGAUUUGGAAUUUAAAACCCAAACUAGAUAUACGAGUGAAAAUGUUUUGAAACUAAGAUUACUUAUUUAGAAUAACAUAAAAGAUGAUGUUCUCUCAUCAACAAAAAAGAUUUUGUCUCCGCCUUAUGAGUGAACUAAGCAAGCUUCCUAAACAUCGUUUAUAGUAAUUGUAAGCUGGGAAGUGCUAGGUAUUUUAUACUGCAGUUAUUAAUGAUUCUCUUUAAUGAGUUGGAACUUUAGUUUUGGUACUCCUGCUAAAGCCUUUUCUAUUUUGUUCCCGAGAACUAAAAUCAAUUACAUCUCCAGGUUGUAGUUUCCUUGCCAUUGGUGAAUCAAAUGCAACUUGUGGAAAGAGAUGGAAAGAAUGCCCAUGUGACAAGGCAACUUACUGAGGAAUCUGUGAAUGGCUAAACCUCAAUAUCAUCCACCACAAGCAACAAUAG